CGGCGCCGGACUGCAGUUCGUGUUUCCCUGUUUGCCUCACCUCUGCAGGGUUCCUAGACACAGGCAGGACACAUCCAAAGCUCUCCACGAGACUGAGCACCUUCACUGACCUGUCUAAAAGCCCCACCCAUCUAAGAAAGGAAUUUGGAAAACAGCUCUCAUCUGGGUUACAGACUCAGUCCCAGUGCCCUCUAGACAAAGUCUGCAAUUUCUAUGGAAAAAGCAAAGAGGGACUUUGCAGAUGUGAUUAAGGAUCCUGAGAUGGGGAGAAUAUCUUGGAUUAGCUGUGUGGACCUAGUGUGGUCCUAGUCUGGGAAGCCAGAAGACAGAAGAGAAGGUGCUGUGGUGAUAGAAGGGAGUGAUGUGCCUUGAAGAAGGAAAAAGGAACCAGAAGCCAAGGAAAUGUGGCCACUAGAAGCUGAAAAAGGCAAGGAAAUAGAUGAUCACCUCUGGGCUUCCAGAAGG